CGAACGCUGGCGGCAGGCCUAAUACAUGCAAGUCGAACGGCUCUUCGGAGCAGUGGCGGACGGGUGAGUAACGCGUGGGAAUGUGCCCUUUGGUACGGAACAACACAGGGAAACUUGUGCUAAUACCGUAUGUGCCCUUCGGGGGAAAGAUUUAUCGCCAUUGGAGCAGCCCGCGUUGGAUUAGGUAGUUGGUGAGGUAAAGGCUCACCAAGCCUACGAUCCGUAACUGGUCUGAGAGGAUGAUCAGUCACACUGGAACUGAGACACGGUCCAGACUCCUACGGGAGGCAGCAGUAGGGAAUCUUGCGCAAUGGGCGAAAGCCUGACGCAGCCAUGCCGCGUGUACGAUGAAGGUCUUAGGGUUGUAAAGCUCUUUCAGUGGGGAAGAUAAUGACGGUACCCACAGAAGAAGCCCCGGCUAACUUCGUGCCAGCAGCCGCUGUAAUAC
rnacentral:rRNA from 1 species